rnacentral:tRNA from 1 species
GGGCGCGUAGCUCAGUCGGUUAGAGCGCCUGCUUCACACGCAGGAGGUCACAGGUUCGAGUCCUGUCGCGCCCACCA